rnacentral:rRNA from 1 species
AGUGAACGCUGGCGGUAGGCCUAACACAUGCAAGUCGAACGGCAGCACAGUAAGAGCUUGCUCUUACGGGUGGCGAGUGGCGGACGGGUGAGGAAUACAUCGGAAUCUACUUUUUCGUGGGGGAUAACGUAGGGAAACUUACGCUAAUACCGCAUACGACCUACGGGUGAAAGCAGGGGAUCUUCGGACCUUGCGCGAUUGAAUGCGCCGAUGUCGGAGUAGCUAGUUGGCGGGGUAAAGGCCCACCAAGGCGACGAUCCGUAGCUGGUCUGAGAGGAUGAUCAGCCACACUGGAACGUGGACACGGUCCAGACUACUACGGGAGGGAGCAGUGGGGAACAUUGGGCAAUGGGCGCAAGCCUUAUCCAGCCAUACCGCGUGGGUUGAGAAAGCCUUCGGUUUGUAAAGCCCGUUUGUUGGGAGAGAAAAGCAGCCGGUUAUUACCCCGCUUUUCUGACGGUACCCAAUGAAUAAGCACCGGCUAACUUCGUG